CUCCCGACAACUCCUAUCUCCACCUCCACGCGGUUCCCGGUGGGAUGUUUUGUGCCAAAACAUGCAAACGGAGAGGGGGGG
rfam:Aedes albopictus isolate Foshan contig60874, whole genome shotgun sequence.